rnacentral:rRNA from 1 species
AAAUUGAAGAGUUUGAUCAUGGCUCAGAUUGAACGCUGGCGGCAGGCCUAACACAUGCAAGUCGAACGGUAACAGGAAGCAGCUUGGCUGCUUUGCUGACGAGUGGCGGACGGGUGAGUAAUGUCUGGGAAACUGCCUGAUGGAGGGGGAUAACUACUGGAAACGGUGGCUAAUACCGCAUAACGUCGCAAGACCAAAGAGGGGGACCUUCGGGCCUCUUGCCAUCAGAUGUGCCCAGAUGGGAUUAGCUUGUUGGUGAGGUAACGGCUCACCAAGGCGACGAUCCCUAGCUGGUCUGAGAGGAUGACCAGCCACACUGGAACUGAGACACGGUCCAGACUCCUACGGGAGGCAGCAGUGGGGAAUAUUGCACAAUGGGCGCAAGCCUGAUGCAGCCAUGCCGCGUGUAUGAAGAAGGCCUUCGGGUUGUAAAGUACUUUCAGCGGGGAGGAAGGUGUUGUGGUUAAUAACCGCAGCAAUUGACGUUACCCGCAGAAGAAGCACCGGCUAACUCCGUGCCAGCAGCCGCGGUAAUACGGAGGGUGCAAGCGUUAAUCGGAAUUACUGGGCGUAAAGCGCACGCAGGCGGUCUGUCAAGUCGGAUGUGAAAUCCCCGGGCUCAACCUGGGAACUGCAUUCGAAACUGGCAGGCUUGAGUCUUGUAGAGGGGGGUAGAAUUCCAGGUGUAGCGGUGAAAUGCGUAGAGAUCUGGAGGAAUACCGGUGGCGAAGGCGGCCCCCUGGACAAAGACUGACGCUCAGGUGCGAAAGCGUGGGGAGCAAACAGGAUUAGAUACCCUGGUAGUCCACGCCGUAAACGAUGUCUACUUGGAGGUUGUGCCCUUGAGGCGUGGCUUCCGGAGCUAACGCGUUAAGUAGACCGCCUGGGGAGUACGGCCGCAAGGUUAAAACUCAAAUGAAUUGACGGGGGCCCGCACAAGCGGUGGAGCAUGUGGUUUAAUUCGAUGCAACGCGAAGAACCUUACCUGGUCUUGACAUCCACAGAACUUUCCAGAGAUGGAUUGGUGCCUUCGGGAACUGUGAGACAGGUGCUGCAUGGCUGUCGUCAGCUCGUGUUGUGAAAUGUUGGGUUAAGUCCCGCAACGAGCGCAACCCUUAUCCUUUGUUGCCAGCGGUCCGGCCGGGAACUCAAAGGAGACUGCCAGUGAUAAACUGGAGGAAGGUGGGGAUGACGUCAAGUCAUCAUGGCCCUUACGACCAGGGCUACACACGUGCUACAAUGGCGCAUACAAAGAGAAGCGACCUCGCGAGAGUAAGCGGACCUCAUAAAGUGCGUCGUAGUCCGGAUUGGAGUCUGCAACUCGACUCCAUGAAGUCGGAAUCGCUAGUAAUCGUGGAUCAGAAUGCCACGGUGAAUACGUUCCCGGGCCUUGUACACACCGCCCGUCACACCAUGGGAGUGGGUUGCAAAAGAAGUAGGUAGCUUAACCUUCGGGAGGGCGCUUACCACUUUGUGAUUCAUGACUGGGGUGAAGUCGUAACAAGGUAACCGUAGGGGAACCUGCGGUUGGAUCACCUCCUUACCUU